rnacentral:rRNA from 1 species
GACGAACGCUGGCGGCGUGCCUAACACAUGCAAGUCGAACGGAACGGCCCUGCUUUUGUGCGGUGCUCGAGUGGCGAACGGGUGAGUAACACGUGAGUAACCUGUCCUUGACUUAGGGAUAACUUCAGGAAACUGGGGCUCUUCCCGGAUAGGAGCUCUUGCUGCAUGGUGGGGGUUGGUUAGUUUCGGCGGUUGGGGAUGGACUCGCGGCUUAUCAGCUUGGUGGUGGGGUAGUGGCUUACCAAGGCUUUGAGGGGUAGCCGGCCUGGGAGGGGGACCGGCCACGUGAGGACGGAGAUACGGCCCAGACUCGAACGGGAGGCAAGGGAGGAGAAGAGAGCACAAGGGGCGGGAGGCAGGUGCGGCAACGCCGCGUGCGGGAUGACGGGCAGGGGGUAGGGAACCACUGUCGCCUGUGACGAGGCGUGAGUGACGGUAAUGGGUGAAGAAGCACCGGCUAACUACGUG